rnacentral:rRNA from 1 species
UACGGGGGGGGGCAAGCGUUGUUCGGAAUUACUGGGCGUAAAGGGCUCGUAGGCGGCCAACUAAGUCGGACGUGAAAUCCCUCGGCUUAACCGGGGAACUGCGUCCGAUACUGGAUGGCUUGAGUUCGGGAGAGGGAUGCGGAAUUCCAGGUGUAGCGGUGAAAUGCGCAGAUAUCAGGAGGAACACCGGUGGCGAAGGCGGUUCUCUGGGCAUGUCCUGACGCUGAGGAGCGAAAGUGUGGGGAGCGAACAGG